GACGAACGCUGCGGCGUGCUUAACACAUGCAAGUCGAACGAAGAGCGAUGGAAGCUUGCUUCUAUCAAUCUUAGUGGCGAACGGGUGAGUAACGCGUAAUCAACCUGCCCUUCAGAGGGGGACAACAGUUGGAAACGACUGCUAAUACCGCAUACGAUCUAACCUUGGCAUCGAGGAUGGAUGAAAGGUGGCCUCUAUUUAUAAGCUAUCACUGAAGGAGGGGAUUGCGUCUGAUUAGCUAGUUGGAGGGGUAACGGCCCACCAAGGCGAUGAUCAGUAGCCGGUCUGAGAGGAUGAACGGCCACAUCGGGACUGAGACACGGCCCAGACUCCUACGGGAGGCAGCAGUGGGGAAUCUUCCGCAAUGGACGAAAGUCUGACGGAGCAACGCCGCGUGAGUGAUGACGGCCUUCGGGGUUGUAAAAGCUCUGUUAAAUCGGG
rnacentral:rRNA from 1 species